rnacentral:lncRNA from 1 species
CUGUGCCGCUGAGCUAAAUCCCCAGCCCCUAAGCUUGUUUUCAUAGUUCUGCUUGUCAGUGUCUGGGUAAGUCCUUACACUGGUCAGCUUUUCUGUUGCUGGGACACAAUACCCAACACUUAAAGAAGGAGAGGUUUGUUUGGCUUCCAAGGUUUCAGUCCAUGGCUGGCUGAAUCCAAGGCAUAGACAUCAUGGCGGAAGGACGCAACAGAAGGAAAGCUGCUCAAUUCAUGGUGCCCAGGAAGCGGAGCAGGGGAAGUGCCGGAGAGGAAGAAGCCAGGGACUAGGUAUAGACCCACGGCCACACCUCCGUGAUGUGUUAUACUAAGCCUGAGGUCGCUCCCAAGCCGACCAAAUUGACAAUUAAGCUUAUCCACCGCAGCCCUUCUGUCGUGAAGGUCCCAAUCUGUCUCCAGAGUCCCCGCCUUGUAAAGGUCCUGCGGAGUCUCGGAUGUGGAGCCUCUAGAACUCAAGCUGUGGGCUCAAACUGAAAAGAAGAAGCAGGAUUUGAAAAGAGAAAGCCAUUUCCCCAACUUCCUCCUCCCUACAGCUGUUGUUCUUUGUUCUAAUACAGAUAAAAGCGGCAACUUUUGUCCCUAUUACGAAAGAGCUCAUAAUUUGAUGGCAUUAUUGGGAGAUGAUGGAAAUAGGACCCGAGACCUAGCUGAAGAGAGCGCAUCACAGAAGUGUGGACCUGGGGACCGUGCUGGUCCCUGGCCCCUUAUUCCCUGGCUCUUCCUGUCUCUGCCCCUGGCUGUCAGGAAGACCUGGUUGCCGUGCGAUGUCCUUCCGCCGUGAUGUUUCUGCCCUGCCACUCGCCUAAAAGCAAUGGAGCUGGCCGCUCAUGGACUGAAAGCUCUGCAAAUGUGAACCAGGAUAAACUUUUCCGCUUUUAUUUUUUAUUUAUUUAUUUUUAAAAACGUUUCCACUUUUACAUUAGUCGCAGAGGUAAAAAGCUAACUCAUACACCAUCUUAACUAUUUUUAAGUGAUAUUAAAUAUAUUUUCAGUGAUAUUAAGUACAACCAUCACCAACAUCAAUCUUCAUCUUUCUUAU